CCGCAAAUAAUUCCGGCGGUUCAUGACAUUGACCGCCGUAACCUUUUCUUUUUUUUUAAAUUAUCUUCUGUCUUCAUUUUUUUUUUCAAAACCCUAAAUCGCUUUCCCCUUUCCCUGGCUUCAUUUUCCCCGAGCCCUUUCCCCGCACAAUCUUAUUGGCUUAGUGACUUCGUUUUAAUAACAUUUCUUUUCCUCUGCUCUCUCUCGAACCUUCUUGAUGGAAGACACGGAGAAGACCGAGUGGAUCGAAUCAAACACAGGAGUGGAAAAGAUUCGACGUAGAGUGAAAAAUAGGAAGAUUGUUCGGUGAGAAAUGCAAAUUAGGUCGCGUGUUUGGUGGAAAAGGAAGAUUCAACGGUUGAAUCGGUGAAACGGUGACAAAAUGAGAUGUAAUCGAUGGAUUCAGUGGAGAAGAUUGUAGCGACCACGAAUCAAGUCGCAAGAUGUGAUUUGGUGAUGUGAAUCACGACGAUGAGGGCUCUGUGAGAGCGAUUAGGUGAGGAGAUUCGCGAGCUCGAGAAGAAGCUAGGGUUAGGUUGUUGGACUUGUGAAAACUCAAAUCGUUGCCGCUGCGUGACCGACCCAUCGUUCCAUAACCACCAUUACGUCUUAUCACCUCCUACAAACGGUUAGCGGGAAGGAUGAAGGAAACAGUGAUGUAAACGAUCUUUCUCAAACACAUCUUUGAACGAUGCAGUCCUAGAUCCAGACACAUCUUCAUUUGGAUUUCUGGGGCAGAUUCCCAGAAAUUUUAGCCUUUCAGAUCUGACUGCCGAUUUUUCUCGGAGUUCUGGUAUGUCUUCUCUCAAGCUUGUGUGGGAUCCUUGUGUAUUGUUCACGAAUUGCAUUCUUUUGCUCGUGUUAGAGAAAGUCAAGCAUUUCAUUUUUUUUUCCAAAGUUUCCAGCCUUUUUCUAUGCUAUUACAUACUAGUGUAUCAAGUAACAAACAGAUAGGAUUGGAUAAAUAAUUUGCACUAGUAGUUAAGGUUCUUAUUUGACAGAUAUACUGGACUAGGUCACCCUUCGUUGCUACGGAUAAUGAAAACUUUCUUAACGAGGAGAACAAGGUAAGAAACAUUUUCACUCACCUGUAUUCUGUUGUUUUGUUCCGCAAUGCUAAUACCGUUGUUAUCUUGGUUUUAAAUAGACAAUAAUAGGCUAGACUCCAUAUCAGAAGGUUUAAGUUAUGAAGACUUUGGGAGUGAAUAGUUGAUACCAUUUGGCUGACGAACUUGCAGGUUGAACAAAAUGCUUAAAAUAUUGUACAUAAAACUUUAGAGGUUUUGAAAUUUAACUGUUGGAUGAACAUAUGCAAUUGGUGUGUAGAAAGUGCACUCACCUCAUUAUUGGUGAUGGUGAAAUGAAAGUUGGAAUGCUUGCAUGGAAGGGAAAGACUCGGUGCAAAUAAAUAAUAAUCUUUUUUCCCCUUUGUGUUUGGCCUUUUGUACUAUAUGCUUAUUCUACAUUGUGUUCAUACUAGAAUUAUAUUAUUGUGUUUUGUUGAUUUUCCUGAUAUAAGACUGAAUAAAAUUAUUUUGUCUUUGGAUUAUGUUUCCAUCUUUGUUUUAAAGCGUGUAUAAAAGUUUAAACACCUCUAAUGCUUUGUAAGGUCUAGUCUAUAUAUUUUGUUGGUUAAAGAGAGAGGGUAGGAAAGAUUAAUUCUGUUUUUCUUCUCUCUGCAUUUUCUUGUGGAUGAAUUAUGUUAUUUCUUCUUAAAUCUUUUUUGCUCUGUAAAGCUAUGGAAUGUGGGUCAUAGCUACUCAUUUGUUUUCUGAGUAUUCCUUUAAUAUCCUAUUUUUCUCAUUAAAUUUUUCUGGUGUAUUGGUUGAUAGUUUCCUGUUACUUUGGGUAUGUUACAUGCUUCUUUUAAUAUUUAUAUUCUUUAUUGCUAAUAAAAAAAACAUAACACCAUUAUACCAUAUUAAAGCUAAAAUAUCUUGAAUGUAAUUUUUUUUGUGGUUAUCUCUUUCCUUUUGUUUAAUUCCAUUAAUGUAUCACUCUUUUUUUUUCCUUUUGUUUAAUUCCACUAAUGUCCACCCCUUUUUUCAACGUUUUAAACUGAAAACUCAUAACAAUCCACAUCCCUGAGUUUUAACCAGGACUUUGUUGUGAAUGGACCAUGAUGAGGCCACGCAGACAUCUCCGACUUGCUUUGCUAUUACAGUUUUCCCAAUUUUAUUAAAUAGGCCUUCAGGUUUUAAAAACCGGCGUUUGAUCUUGCAAUAAAAUUCCCAGCUCUAAACAAUUAUAAUCAAGCAUUGGUUAGGAUUCCUCGGUCAUGAGGUGUUUCAAUUGUGUUUGCUCAAUUUUGAUGUUCUUUUUAUGUGGUAUGGUUGCAUGUAUAUGUAUGGUUUAUCUUGUGAAGAUGUUCGAACUCUAUCAGUAUUGCCAUAAUUAGAAGAGAAACAGAUAUUUGAUGGAGAGAAGGCUAAUUUGCUUGUUAGAGAUCUCAGAAAGGCCUUUGAUUUAGGUAGGACAAAGAGUUAUGAAUGGAGGGUUGUCCAGUUGGAGGCCAUUAUUAAGAUGUUAAAAGAGAGAAUUUGAGGUAGGCUACAAGCGUUUGAUGAAUUCGAGGUAGGUGAACGAGUUUGCUUUUGUAGUGUUCUGGUUUUUUGUAUCAGAUCUGGUGGCUUGUUGUUGACUCAAAAUAGAUAAUACAUUAAUAGACCUAUCAAUGGUACUUGGCAAACUUAGUAAUGCUUCAGUUUCUAGUUUCAAAGACAACAAACUAAUAUAUUCUGAUGCAUCGUCAUGAUCAGGUGAUUCAAAAGAGAGCUAUUAUAUUGGUCCUAUUGCAGAUACAAAUGUUAAGCUUAAUCAAUGGCCUUCUGAAGAUUUAGUUGUGUUGUUUUCGUUUUACAUAUAUAUUUGUGGUUUCUGACAUCUACGUGAGCUUUAUUUGAGAUAUUUAUUUUGCAAGGACACUUCAGAAUCACUUGGAAAUUGGAGACCAUCAAUGGAAUUAUUCUACUGGAAACUCUUGGAACUAAUGCACAGGUAGGUCUGGUAAUGUAUAAUGCCAACUCCAAUGCAGAUGUCCAACAUAUCCAUUGAAGAAGAAUACUACAACGGUAGCAGACAUUGUAUUCUUAUAGCAUCCGGAGACCCUGUUCCUAGGAGAAUGUUAGUCUCUCUGCCACAGAUUGAUAAAGGAAGAAUUUUUGGCCAAUAGUUGCAUACUUUAAAUGUUGAUUUUUGUGAGGUGGCAGAAAUGUUUGGCCCGCUAGCAGUAUCCCUUUCAAUGAUAUCUGCAGUGCAACAUCCAAUUUUUGGAGUGAUAUUCAAUACGGGAAAUAACGGUUCUCCAAUGGUAACCACUCCAAACUCUAACAUUAGAAUUGGCGAAUUGAAUGUUCUAUUGGCAAGAAAUUUUAAGGAGACACACGAUGCCCUUCGUGGGAAAAGAAGAGUGGAUCCAGCCACAAAAGAUAGUGUAAAAUCAAUGAGGAUGACAAAUGAAGAAGUUGCUAACAUGGUUGAUCCAAGGGGUGCUUUACCAACUGAUGACUCCAUGUUCAUUUAGUCAAGAGGAAACAUAGCUAAUACUGAACCAUCCUUAUCACGACCAGUUCUUCCAUAUGCUUGUACUAGCACUAGCAGCAGCAGGCGUCCACAUCUUCCAUUCCUAACAGCAGGCUUUGAUCCAUAUGGUAGAUCUGUGUUUGGACCAACCACUGGGUUCCACCUCCACCAAAAGCACCUCAAUUUAAUCCCCAUGAUUUCUGGCCUCCUCCACCAUCUUCUACAUAUUCUCAAAACCUAGUGCAAGCAUGGGAGGUAAACUCAUUCAGGCAUCACAAGCACAAGAAAAGCUUCAGAAUGAAAACCAUAUGCGAAGGAUAAGGUAGAAUCGGCGGUUGUUGUGUAACCCCUGGAAUUACAGGCGAUUUUGACAAAACCCUUGGAAGUACCCCUGGAAUUACAGGCGAUUUUGACAAAACCCUUGGAAGUACCGGCGGUUUAUAGAAAACCCCCGUUAUUUCUGGCAGUUUUCAAAAAACCCUGCUAUUUCCGACCAUACUACUAGGCAACGCUCGUUUUCCCUACGGUUUUCGCAAUUGCGGGAAAAGCACUUUCCGGGGUUUAAAACCGCCGGUAAUAUUGAAAAAAACCUCCGGUAAAAUUCUCCUUUUUUGUAGUGUGAGCAACAUAAAAAAAAAUUACAUCAACCAUUCCAACCAACAUUCUGUAUUUAGCUAGAUGUCUAGCAUCUUCAAUAAUGGGUUUAACAUUUGUACGUUUUUUUUGCCAUGUUGACCAAAUCACGACCACUUCUAUGAGAAAACUCUCUACUGCUUCCUGACUACAUACAAAGAACAAUACACUCCGAGUAAGCUAUUAUACUCCAUAA